GCUACAUCUGCCCUGGGAAAGCCUGGCUUCUGUGCAGUCUGCAGGAGGAGAAUUCAAAUGCUGUCCUUAAGGAAUUUCACAGAGGAAGACACCAUCUCCAUGCACCUCCAUGUCUGCAGGAUAGGAAGACAACGAACUGCACACUGACUUAUGCUUGCUGAAUAUUUACUCAGUGAGAAGAAGUGGACGACCGGCCAGAGAAUUGAAAACCAUCAAUACCUGGGCCUCCUGAAAAUGAGGGACUUUAUUCUUCAUUCAACAGAUUUUACUGAUCAUAUACAGUAGACCGAGCAUUCUGCUAGGGGUACAAGUCAGACAGGACACACACAAUUUUCAGAGCUGUGCUUUAACAGCUGAUCUAUACGCAGAAGUGAAAUGCGAAAAAAAAAAAAAAAACACAUCAGGCCAGAAAAGGGAGUCUUGAGAAAAAAAUGAAUGAAUAGGUGCCUUUUGGAUUAUACCUCCGCUGAAAGAAAUCAACUGUGAGGUGUGACUAGCAGAAAGAGGAGUGUCUAGUGGAGGGAACUAGACCGGCAGAGCAGAUUUGAAGUUGAGGUGUUUAGGCAGAAAAAGGUUCUAAGUUUUGCAUAACUAUUAGCAAAUUACUUCGAUUUGUUUUGUUUCUUGAUUGCCUUUUCUGGCCAUUGAAAAUGAUGGCGAUCUACUUUUUAGAGUUAUACGGAGAACUAAGUGUGCAAUUUAGUGCACAGCAAGCUCUUAAUAGAGGCAAUGGCAAGCCGAUUUCGCUGAGAUGUGUGUGCGAUACAGCAGAGCGGUUUUAGGACACCGGAGUUUGGAUGUUGCGUCUCGGAUUUAUUAGGGCAGAAAUGGGAAGCGCAGAGUCUCUCACAGAGAGGUGUCAGUAAAAAGAUACAUCGGUGGUGUCGUAGCAGCUGUUCCCAGGCUGUUUCAAAACACAGUGAAUGGAGGCCUGAGAUAGAUAUCAUCUAUCUCAAGAGGACAGCUAUGAGGUAAUGUGAGCCUGGGCUCGGGUAAGGGAUUUGGAAGGACUUGACUAUAAAUUGGAUGGGAACAAGACGGAGGGAAGAUGAAAGUUCCUUUAGCAACAUGAACCUAGGAAACUAGGAGGAAGGCUGCACCUUUGGCAAAAGACUUUCCUUUUGUGUUUGUUGUUGUUGUUACUUUUAUUGUUAUUACUAUGUCUGAGGAAAGCAAAUGCGUACGUUUUAUGGGGAAGAGCGGACAAGAAGACACAAAGCAUCAGGCAGCAGGGUCCAAGACCAGGGCUAAACGUUUCUGUUGGGGAUAAUCUGCUGAUUUUCAUAGCGUUCAUUGAAACCAGCUGUCUCUACUAAAGGUAGCAGGGGAAAGUGGAACAUUAAAAAGGAGGGGGAAAAAUCGUAUAAAAAGAUUCCGAGAAAGAAUAUCCUGAGGGCUGAUAGGAACAUUUGGGGAGUGAAACAUUGCCAAGUGUCAAAGCAAGCCAAACUCUGCGUCCAUGAACUUGGAAGAGCAACUUCCUCUUCCUGUACAGAGAUUUUUUUCCCACGUCCUUAAAGACCCAUCCUUAUUUAAAAUGUCACAGGUGGAAUCAAAAGAAAAUCCCUCUUGCCAGAAUAUCAUAAAUUACUAUCUGGCUGGAGAUAGGUGGAGUAGCGACAAAUGCAGGCACCUCGCUUUCUGUUAAACAGGGUUUGUAAUGUAAAAUGAGUGGACUCUCUUUCCAGAACAAGUUGACCACCCAUAAACCGCGGGGCAAAAAGGAUUAGAAAUCCUUCUCAGAACCUCUGGGAAGACUUCCUGAGCUCCGUGAGUUACAGUGCUGGGGCAAUAUGCCAUACUUAUUUAUAUAACACGUUUGCAGCAUCACGUUAUAUUUUCAGGCUGGGCUGUGAUCCUUAAAGACUUUAAAGGCAAUCAUUAUAAAGGCAGCAUUACUAGGAUCUAAUGAACAUAUAAUAUUACCAAUUUACCCAAAUAUGUUUCUUAUAAUAAAUACUGUUAUCACACUAUAGAACAUUUCCAUGUCUAUAAAAAGUUGCUUGCAUUGCCUUUUUGCACCCCAACAUUUUCCCCUUUUUCUGAUCUCUGGCAAUUACCAUCAUCUCCGUAUUCAACUAAGUUAAAUUUUUGUAGAACUUCAUAUCAAUAACAUUAUGCAGUCUGUGCCUGUUUUUUCCUAUAAUCUGCUCUUAAAAUUCAUCUGUGUGAUUUAUUAUAGUGAUGCCUGUAUACCAUCCUGGCAUUCAGUAGGCUGAGGCAUGAGGAUCAUGAUUUUGAAGGCAGUCUACAAUGCGUAGUGAACGGAGACCAGCAUGGUCUACAUUGGGAGACAUAAGUGGAACUCACCUGAGAUAUAUAUGUGUGUGUGUGUGUGUGUGUGUGUGUGUGUGUGUGUGUGUGUGUGUGUCUGUGUGUAUGCAGUCUUAUUUCCCCCUUUUUGAUUAAUCACCAUACUUUAUUCAGAAUUUCAAUACAUCCCUGACAUCUUCUUCCAUGAUCCAUUCCAGGAUGCUACACUAUGCUUAGCUGUAGUAUCAUUUUAAUUUCCCACAGGCUGUAAUCGUUUCUCAAACUUUUCUUGGUUUUAAUGACAUAGAGGGAAUUUGACAACAAUUUUGGAGAAUGCCUGAUAAGGUUAAUUCGCUAAUAGUUUCCUCAUAGUUUGAUUGGCAAUAAGGGUCUUUUAGAGUACUGUAUAUAACUAUAGGAUCUGAGUUAACUAGUUUUUUAAUCACUGGACCCUUUCUGGAGGUCUUGUUUGGCUCCUGAUUUCCGGGGUGUCAGCCUUUAUUUUCUUGGUGCUAUGCACUUGGGUAGAAGAUUAUGGAUUGACUGUACAUGGUCAAAGUUUUCACAUCAUGGCAAACAGGAAAUAGAAAAGACAUAGAGGUGGAGCUGAAACAAGAUACGUCCAAAUAACUCCAGCUCCCAUGCUUUACUUUUAAAACAGAAGCCCCACUUCCUGAAGCUCCCAGAGCUUUUGAAAGCAGUGCCCUCAGUAGGGGAGCAAACACUGCAUACACAUACACUGACCUGUGGAGGACAUUUCGUACUCAAGUAGCAUCCUCAAGCCCUCGGUGCACAGACUCAGGGCCACCUAAUACUGAAGUCUGCGUGUGGUCCAAGAGUUCCCAACGACAGUUCCAGUGUUUUUUAAACACUCAAGUUCAAAGUCUUUUCUGAAGAGCAAGGCAAACUUGUGAGCCCCUGUAAAAUCACAAGUCACACACUUCCAAGACAGAAGGGGCCAGCAUUGGCAUACUCUAUCAUCUGUCUAGAUUACUGUUCUGUGUGGUCUUGAAAAUGAUGUGCCUUUUGUAGCUGUUGGAGGGACCAUUGGUUAGGUCCAAGGAGCCUGCCAGGCAGUUUAACUCUGCUCAUGUUAAAAUCCCUGGAGUGUUUUUCAUUGCUGAAAUAGGUUCCCCAGCUAUGACUGCACUGAGGCUUUUAUCCCACUUCAUGUUUAUAUAUUUGGGCACUCCAGUAAUGCGUACAUACAAACUUAGAAUUGUUUUUCAUUCUUGACAAAAUGGCCAUUUUUCCAUUAUAUAUUUUCUUCUCUGUCUUCUUUUGUAUUUCAUUUUGUGUUUUUUUUCCCCAUAGUAUCCCUUAGGCAUUAUUUAUUUGUAACCUUGUGUUUUCAUCCCUUGCCUUUUGGUUUUUUAAACAGUAAUUUUUAUGCACAUGGGCGUUUUGUCUACAUGUAUGUCUGGGCACUGUGUCCAUACCCGGUGCCCUUUGAGGCAAGAAGAGUGUGUCCAAACUCCCGGAAUGAGAACUACAGUUGUGAGCUGCCACGUAGUGUACGGCAUUGAACCUGAGUCCUCUGGAAGAACAGUACUCUUAACUACCAAGCCAUCUUCCCAGCCUCUUUUAUGUUUUUGUAUGUAUGUUUUCUGAGUGUUUUGUAGAUAGCAUUUGAGUUCAUGAAGGAAAUGGGAAAUUCUUCCUAUUACGGGAAGCUAUUUUGAAAUGAUAGCAACUUCACAGUGAAUAUAAAGGUAGUGUAGGAAUCUACCUGAUAAAAACACACUGAGUAUACUCUAUUCCCUUUCAUAGUUUAUAUUCUUUACAUCUUAUAUAUGUAGUGAUAUUUUGCUUGUGUUUUUAACAAAUAAAGCUUGCCUGAAGAUCAGAAUGCAGAGCUAAGCCACUAUAGGCCAGGCAGUGGUGGCUCACACCUGUAAUACAAGAACUUGGGAGUCCCACGCCUUUAAUCCCAGCACUAGAGAGGAGGAGACAGGAAGGAAUAUGGCUGGAUGGAGAAAGGAAUAUAAGAUGGGAGGAGACAGUCUGAGGUUGGUGUAGACAGUUGCAAUGUGAGGAUGAAGCCUGAGGAGACAGUCUGAAGACAGGUUCGCCCCUUGGGUCUGAGCAUUCUUAGAGGUAAAGGGUCCCUCUAAUAUCUGGCCGUAUUCCUUCCCUGAUCCUUCAGUUUUAACCCCCUAAUAUUUGACUCUGGUUUUUAUAUAUUAAGACCAAUUAGAAUUCAUGCUACAUGUACAUAUGUACAUUGGAUACAUCUUAGCAUAGUAUUAUAUUUUAGCUUUUAUCUUCACAUUAAGAAUACAAGUGGCUACAGAACAUUUUGAAUAUUUUGAAGCCUUUUGAAUUUCUAUAGUUACUACUGAGUGUAUAGAACAUAUUAUCUUUCCUUUUUAAACAAUAUUUUUAUUCUUUAAGAAUUUCAUGUACUGUAUUUGGACAUAUUCAUCUUCUUUCGCAAGCUCUCCCCAUAUCCAUCAUCUCUUUCUCCCCUUACUUCCAACCCAACUUUGAGUUUUCUUCUUUAUUUUCCCCCAUUAAUUCUAAUUUGUAUUUCCAACUGGUCUUGAGAGUGGGGUCUACCCUGGUGUGCUGCUGACCCACCAGGAGUCAUGCUGUUCAAGAGAAGUGACUUCCACUCUCCCACCAGCUAUCAAAUGUCAAUCAAUAUCUCCUCAGUUAGUGAUGGGAUUCCAUGCCUCAGUCUCCUCCUCUGUGCUGGGCUUUUAUCUAGCUUGGGCUUUCAUGGGCCUUGUGCACAUUGUCACCAUCACUGCAACUGCCCCAUGAUGUCAAGAAAACAUUGUUUCCUUGAUGUCAUCCACCACUGUUGGAGCUUGCAGUCAUUCUUGCGACUAUUACACCUAUGGACAUAUCUUGUCAGUCCAGCUGUUGUAAUGUGCAGAGUUCACAGCUGGAUGAGAAUGAGAAUGGCUUUCCUCCUUCGAUAGCAUGGGUAGUACUUUCCAGCACCAUGGAAGCUAGCCAGUGGGGCUGAAGCCUUCAGGUCAGCACCAGCUUGAUUUCUCCUUGUUCUGUGAUUCAAAUAUGUUCUGUUUUCAGCAAUGUGAUCUUGCUGUCAAGUUCUGAAGGGUAACCAAGAGUACUGGUGAUAGCCUGUAAUGCUUCGGUAUAUGAGACCUCGUUCUUCAACAUCUCAAAAAGAGGUCACCUAUUUCUGGACUGGAGAUUUGGGUUGGGUGUGUGGAAGGAAGGAUCAGGCCAACUCACUGAAAUAGACCCUGGAGCAGGAUGUGUGGGAUAUGGCUGGAAGAAGAGGUUGGAUGUAGUCAGGAAAGGGUUUAUGGUCAAUGAUGGGCAAGAUGGGUCCUGGGGAAAACCUAGAAAUUGGUUAUAGUACAAGCAGAGGUAGCCAGACUAAACUGGAAAACUGGAUUUGGGACCUGGAUCUUAGGGUUGUGGAAAAUAUGGAGACCGGAGGGUUUGGCAGACUCAAAGGGCUAGACCCUGGAGAAGAAUGCUCGAGACAUGGCUGGGUAGAGAGGUUCUAUGUGGUAUAGACACAUUUCUUAUGUAACAAUGUUACAUUAAUGAGCGGUCUUUCCAGAAAACAAAGCUCUAAUGUGUAGUGUUGGAAGAUUUCCAUCAUGUAAAUUCUCCCACUGUGGGCGGUCCGCACAUGAUGCCCUCAUGGCUUGGUGACGGUCAGUCCUUGUGAGUCUGCAGAAGCUGACUCGCUCAUUUUGAGACAGAUAUUUUAAUAUUCAAGCCUGGGUGCGGGGUGAAAUGCCUCCAUCUGUCCCCAGGACCCUAGAGGCAUGUACCAAAUGCUGAAGAAUAAACAAGUAAGAGGAGGUAAUUUCAUGAAUUUAUGUAGAAGAGUGACUUAUUGUUUACUCAAUACCUUCAGUAAAUGUUAAUGUGGGUGCUUCCCAGGGGCUAAUGUCUAGAGAAGUUUGUUCUCCUUUCCCUGAAACCUAAAACAACAGAGAUUGCUCAGGUUUAGUCAGCACAUGGCCUUCCCAGUUUGCUUCCAGUUCUUUCUAUAGCCUGGCUAGCUCCUCCAUUUUCUGUUCUUCAUCCUACUUCCUGAUGUCUCUGUGUGCUGUAUUUCCUAGACUCCCCUUCCAGUCGUUCUCUUUUGUACUCCUGCGUCUCCUUGGCUUGCUUCUUUGCGGCCAGAUGAAAAGCUGCCUACGCUAGAGUACCACUGAGUAUAGAAACAGAGACCAGGCUGGUGCACACUUAGAACUUGUUUGACCUACUCUGCCAAAACUGGGCCAAGGAGCAAAACAUGGCCAGAAAGCAAAUGCUGCUGAGCAAGAAAAGCAGCAUGGGGUCACACAUCACUUCUUAGAAUGGUGAGUUGGAAAGACCUCUAGAAAUCAUUUAGUCUAAAUAAGACAAAAACAAGAUCCACUGAGGUGAAACAGCCUGCUCAACACUUGUAGCGCAAGUAAUUAAAACCCAGAGACAGAUAUUGGGGUUCAAGCUGAAGAUCAGCAAAGCAAAACAGCCAAGCUACUAAAGAAGUCUUAGCUCUACCAAGGCUGGGUGAGUCAAUUGGUGAAAGGAGAGGGAGACAGGGAGAUGGAAUUGACUUUGAAGUAGAAUAAGGUAGAAAAUAUCAUUUAUCAGAUAUUGAUUUAUUUAGUGGUUUAUUGAAAACACUGCUUGUACUACCUGUUUGCCAAGAGUGACUUCACUUGCUCCCUGGGUCAGAAUGACCUGGAGAAAUAGCUGAAACAAUGUACUGUUGCCCUUAACAACCUGAGGACUUCCACACAGGAUUCUGUAAAAUCUCGCUUGCUUGCCCAUUCUGCCUUGGAGUUUUAGAGACUAGAAAGAGAACGCUGGAUCCAGAACUCAGGCCUUUUAGGAGCUGUCCUGGGUUCGGUCCAUGGGGGUGGGUGGCAUCUGCUCUCUUCUAUUCUUGCUAGUGUCAGAGAGCCUAUUCCAGAAGGAUUCCUACAGCAGUUGUCUUGGGCAGGAAUAAGCCUGUCAGUUUUCGUAACUGCUUAGAAUGAGUUCUCCUAUCUAAUAACAAUGAAAGAAAUUAAUCACUGGCUUUUCCUUCGGGACAGAAUCCGGCUGCGAAGACUUGGCUAGGUUCAACUUGCUAUAUAGCCCAGGUUUGCUUUAAACUUGAAAUAAUUCUCCUGAUUCAGCUUCCCGAGUUCUGGAAAUUCAGGCUUAUGCCACCAUA